AAGGAGGAGGAAGGGGAGGAGAAAGACGAAGAGAUGGAGGAAAACUGAAAAUGGUUGCCUUGCUCUUCCUGCUUCCACCUCAAACCCUAAAAUGACAGUUCUACAGAUGAGAACAUACCAGGGAAGCUGAGAGAAUCCACAAACCCUUUGAAGGAAGUGGCUUGCUGCUGCAGAGUGGGACAGCAGAGGAACUGUGUUGAUCCCAAGAGUGCUUCCUAAGAAUCCUCCUCCAUGUUAACUUUCAUCCUAGAGUCUGCUUCACUGAUUGCCCAACUUGCAACAGAAAGUAGUAAUAUCUCUGCUUUUGUAUUGUUUCAUGCACUACUCAUCUAAGGUUCUAGGACAGUGUUCUCUCUCGUUUCCAAUAAUAAAAUUCUUCUGAUUGUCCUGGGGAGUAUUUUUGAUGUGCAUUUUAUAGUCUCUCAUGCAGCAAAAACCCAAGUGAAAUAGCUAUCUACACUUUGUAGAUUCAUUAAAUGCAUUGGAUACACAACGAAAUUGAGCUUCUUAUUUAUGGUUUCCUUCAAUAAAUGUGGUUUUAAAAAUUCCUUGUUUGUGAAUAAUUUAAGUUCACUGAAAGGAGUUUGACGGGUUAUUUAAAUUGAACGUUGUGGAGAAAUAGUAUUAUUUUAAUUGCUAGAUGUUUUAGCCAUUCUGUGAAAUCUCUUUAUUCAUGGAAAUAGCAUAA
rnacentral:lncRNA from 1 species